CCUACGGGUGGCAGCAGUGGGGAAUUUUGGACAAUGGGGGCAACCCUGAUCCAGCCAUGCCGCGUGAGUGAAGAAGGCCUUCGGGUUGUAAAGCUCUUUCAGCCGGGAAGAAAUCGCAUCAGCUAAUACCUGGUGUGGAUGACGGUACCGGAAUAAGAAGCACCGGCUAACUACGUGCCAGCAGCCGCGGUAAUACGUAGGGUGCGAGCGUUAAUCGAGAUUGCGCGGCGGAAUGUGUAAGCAGGCCGUGAAAUCCCCGGGCUCAACCUGGGAACUGCGUUUGUGACUGCACAGCUAGAGUAUGGCAGAGGGGGGUGGAAUUCCACGUGUAGCAGUGAAAUGCGUAGAGAUGUGGAGGAACACCGAUGGCGAAGGCAGCCCCCUGGGCCAAUACUGACGCUCAUGCACGAAAGCGUGGGUAGCAAACAGGAUUAGAUACCCCAGUAGUC
rnacentral:rRNA from 1 species